GGUCCUCAUGGCUCAAGCAUGCACAUGAUCCAUUUUAUACUCAUCGACUUGGUUUUCAGCUCACGGAUUCAUUUCUGAAAGGCAUCUUUUAUUUGUGCCUCUUGGUUUGAUGUUCCCAUAAGGAAGGAUCUGAUUGUUCUCUAUUCAUCUUUUUGGGGCCCAAUCAGUCAAGAAAAGUCAGUCAACCAUUCUCAGACCAAGCACCUGCUGCCACACAAGUCCAAUCACCCGAGACUGGGAGAACAGAGAUACUGUACACAGUGUGAAAUCCAUUUUGAGGAUGACAGCAUAUGGCACUAGGACCACACCCUCAUCUUCUCUGCUGUCCUUCCCACAGCUGACAGGCUUUCAGAAUCACAGAGUAUUAGUUGCAAAAGAACCUUCCUGUCUCCUUAAAAUCAUUUGGCCAGAGAAUCGUGUGACAUGGACAAUCAAGAAUGAGCUGAAACUGGAAACUACAAGCCUCCUGACUUCAACCUUAUGCCUCUGGGUUCUAAAUGUAACCCUAUUAAAUUGCUG